UACGGGGGGAGCAAGCGUUGUUCGGAUUUACUGGGCGUAAAGGGCGCGUAGGCGGCCAGCACAAGUCAGUUGUGAAAUCUCCGAGCUUAACUCGGAAAGGUCAACUGAUACUGUGCGGCUAGAGUGUAGAAGGGGCAAUCGGAAUUCUUGGUGUAGCGGUGAAAUGCGUAGAUAUCAAGAGGAACACCUGAGGUGAAGACGGGUUGCUGGUCUAACACUGACGCUGAGGCGCGAAAGCCAGGGGAGCAAACGGG
rnacentral:rRNA from 1 species